AUUGAACGCUGGCGGCAUGCCUUACACAUGCAAGUCGAACGGCAGCACGGGUGCUUGCACCUGGUGGCGAGUGGCGAACGGGUGAGUAAUACAUCGGAACAUGUCCUGUAGUGGGGGAUAGCCCGGCGAAAGCCGGAUUAAUACCGCAUACGAUCUACGGAUGAAAGCGGGGGACCUUCGGGCCUCGCGCUAUAGGGUUGGCCGAUGGCUGAUUAGCUAGUUGGUGGGGUAAAGGCCUACCAAGGCGACGAUCAGUAGCUGGUCUGAGAGGACGACCAGCCACACGGGGACGGGGACCCGGCCCAGACUCCCAGGGGGGGCCGCAGUGGGAAAUUUGGGACAAGGGGCGAAGCCCUAAUCCAGCAAGGCCGCGGUGGGAAAGAAGCCCUUCGGGUUGAAAAGCACUUUUGUCCGGAAAAAAAUCCUUGGCCCUAAUACGGUCGGGGGUUGACGGUCCCGGAAAAAAAACCCCCGGCAAACUACG
rnacentral:rRNA from 1 species